GACGAACGCUGGCGGCGUGCCUAAUACAUGCAAGUAGAACGCUGAAGGAGGAGCUUGCUUCUCUGGAUGAGUUGCGAACGGGUGAGUAACGCGUAGGUAACCUGCCUGGUAGCGGGGGAUAACUAUUGGAAACGAUAGCUAAUACCGCAUAAGAGUAAAUGUUGCAUGACAUUUGCUUAAAAGGUGCAAUUGCAUCACUACCAGAUGGACCUGCGUUGUAUUAGCUAGUUGGUGAGGUAACGGCUCACCAAGGCAACGAUACAUAGCCGACCUGAGAGGGUGAUCGGCCACACUGGGACUGAGACACGGCCCAGACUCCUACGGGAGGCAGCAGUAGGGAAUCUUCGGCAAUGGACGGAAGUCUGACCGAGCAACGCCGCGUGAGUGAAGAAGGUUUUCGGAUCGUAAAGCUCUGUUGUAAGAGAAGAACGAGUGUGAGAGUGGAAAAGUUCACACUGUGGACGGU
rnacentral:rRNA from 1 species